GUAAAGGUGGCUGAAGAUAGGUGGUGGGUUGUAAUUCCAUUUA
rnacentral:tRNA from 1 species